GGGCCCGCACAAGCGGUGGAGUAUGUGGUUUAAUUCGAUGCAACGCGAAGAACCUUACCAGGGUUUGACAUCCUGCGAAUCUCUUGGAAACAGGAGAGUGCCUUUCGGGAACGCAGUGACAGGUGGUGCAUGGCUGUCGUCAGCUCGUGCCGUGAGGUGUCAGGUUAAGUCCUAUAACGAGCGCAACCCACGUCUUUAGUUGCCAGCAUUUAGUUGGGCACUCUAGAGAGACCGCCGGUGAUAAACCGGAGGAAGGUGUGGAUGACGUCAAGUCAUCAUGCCCCUUACAUCCUGGGCUACACACGUACUACAAUGCUACGGACAAAGGGCUGCAAGUUCGCGAGGACAAGCAAAUCCCAAUAACCGUGGCUCAGUUCAGAUCGUAGCUGCAACUCGCCUACGUGAAGGCGAAUCGCUAGUAAUCGC
rnacentral:rRNA from 1 species